AUUGAACGCUGGCGGCAUGCCUUACACAUGCAAGUCGAACGGCAGCGCGGGAGCAAUCCUGGCGGCGAGUGGCGAACGGGUGAGUAAUAUAUCGGAACGUGCCCAGUAGUGGGGGAUAGCCCGGCGAAAGCCGGAUUAAUACCGCAUGAGACCUGAGGGUGAAAGCGGGGGAUCGCAAGACCUCGCGCUAUUGGAGCGGCCGAUAUCAGAUUAGCUAGUUGGUGGGGUAAAGGCCUACCAAGGCAACGAUCUGUAGUUGGUCUGAGAGGACGACCAGCCACACUGGGACUGAGAUACGGCCCAGACUCCUACGGGAGGCAGCAGUGGGGAAUUUUGGACAAUGGGCGCAAGCCUGAUCCAGCAAUGCCGCGUGCAGGAAGAAGG
rnacentral:rRNA from 1 species